GGAGUGCGAAGAUGGAGGCUAAUGUCUCUGCUCCCUGACAGCCUGGCUCCCACUGGAAGGUGGCCAUCAUGUAAACCCGAGGCUUCUCUCCUCCAGGAGAACAGCCCUGCUUCCUGAAACGGCUCCUCUCAGGCGUAGUUUUAAGUCCCUUUGAUUGGAAAUGAACAUUUGAAAUCCAGCUCAAUUCAGACUUCUUCCUUCUGGGGGAUUCAGUAGGCAACAUGCACAGCUCUGAACCAGCAUGUUGGUUUACAAAAGUGACAUCAUAACUUCUGCCCCAGGUCAUUCAGCCCUGCAAACCUUGUCUGGCUGGCGAUGUUCAGACCCCAGGGAGCCAGUCAGUCGGCUGGUGGAGCACUCGCUCUGCCCAGAGCCCUGGACUUAGGGAGGGGUUCAGAAGAAGAAAGACUCGCGCUGGCUCUACAGGGCUCUCAGAUUAAGACAGGCUGGAAGAAACUGGAGAGAGAGACUUAAUGACAUUCACCAAGGACGCCAGAGAAGUGCAGUGAAGAAAGUGCAAGUGGUGGAAGAAAUGCCCUGGUGACCGGUGCCAAGGCUUUGGGGGGAAGCUGGGUCACCAUGCAGGAGGAAGCUGAGAGCAAGAGGAAGAGGAAGGCCCUUCCGAAUGGUCGACAUUAAAACAGAAAAGGAGUGGCAACUGUGGUGUCGUGAAAAAAGUACAGGAUUUGGAGCUGGUCCUGCCCUGCUAACGAUGAGUCUCGGUAUCUGAGCAUCUCAGUUUCCCAGUCCGCAGAAUGGGGACGAAAGCAGCCCUCCUCCACAGUGUUGUCGGAAAGGUCAAAUACAAGGAUGGAUGUGUCGGUACCCAACCAUCUGUAAAAGCCCAAGUCGGAGGAAAAAUGCUACUGCCGCCGCUGAGCACUGGAUUCCUGGGGAUGGGAGGCUUCGAGAGAAAACCCACCUGCAGACGAACGUGGAGGGUGGAUGCAGAAAACACUGGUGCAAAGCGCUGGUGAGGAGCCUGUGAGAGCUGGAUCCUCCAGAACGCCAAUUGGAGGCUGCGCUGGUGCAGCCUCACAUAAGGAGAGGCCACUGAAGGAGGCAGAGGGGGGGAAGGUGUGGAGAACUGUGAAGGAUCUGGUACUUUACCCUACCUGCCAGCUAACGAGUUAGUCUGCCAGUUUCCUGGGUGCUGGCAGAGUACACGAGACUUGUGGGUCAGAGACAAAGGUCAUGACCCACAGCAACUGAAGAAGCCAGAGUGUCAGCAUUUGUGUGGUCCCCCAGCCCCACAGGGUGACUGGAAGAGGGCCAGGUGACACCUGCACAUGCCGUAGAUUGCUCUGCUGGAGAGGAAUCCUGACUUAGGGAACCUGAAUCUUUUACGAUGGGAAGUAAGCCUGUUGACCUGUGCCCUAGAGGAGACGUUAUCUUUUUUCUCCAGUGUUAUUGAGAAAUAAU
rnacentral:lncRNA from 1 species